UACGGAAGGCAGCAGUGGGGAAUAUUGCACAAUGGGCGAAAGCCUGAUGCAGCUAUGCCGCGUGUAUGAAGAAGGCCUUAGGGUUGUAAAGUACUUUCAUCGGGGAGGAAAAAACAAAACUAAUAAUUUUAUUUCUUGACGUUACCCGAAAAAGAAGCACCGGCUAACUCCGUGCCAGCAGCCGCGGUAAUACGGAGGGUGCUAGCGUUAAUCAGAAUUACUGGGCGUAAAGAGCACGUAGGUGGUUUUUUUAAAGUCAGAUGUGAAAUCCCUGGGCUUAACCUAGGAACUGCAUUUUGAAACUGAAAUACUAGAGUAUCGUAGAGGGAGGUAGAAUUCUAGGUGUAGCGGUGAAAUGCGUAGAUAUCUGGAGGAAUACCUGUGGCGAAAGCGGCCUCCUAAACGAAUACUGACACUGAGGGUGCGAAAAGCGUGGGGAGCAAAACAGGGAUUAGAUAC
rnacentral:rRNA from 1 species